GGGGUUGUGGCUCAGCGGUAGAGCGUUCACCUAGCAUGUGUGAGGCCCUGGGUUCAAUCCUCAGCACCA
rnacentral:tRNA from 1 species